CAAGAAAUAAUUUAUUUUAAAAUAUUAAAUUUGGAGUUUAAAAAAGUUUUUCUUUCUUGA
rnacentral:tRNA from 1 species